rnacentral:rRNA from 1 species
GAUGAACGCUAGCUACAGGCUUAACACAUGCAAGUCGAGGGGAAACGAUAUUGGAAGCUUGCUUCCGAUAGGCGUCGACCGGCGCACGGGUGAGUAACGCGUAUCCAACCUGCCCAUCACUUGGGGAUAACCUUGCGAAAGUAAGACUAAUACCCAAUGACGUCUCUAGAAGACAUCUGAAAGAGAUUAAAGAUUUAUCGGUGAUGGAUGGGGAUGCGUCUGAUUAGCUUGUGGGCGGGGUAACGGCCCACCAAGGCGUCGAUCAGUAGGGGUUCUGAGAGGAAGGUUCCCCACAUUGGAACUGAGACACGGUCCAAACUCCUACGGGAGGCAGCAGUGAGGAAUAUUGGUCAAUGGACGAGAGUCUGAACCAGCCAAGUAGCGUGCAGGAUGACGGCCCUAUGGGUUGUAAACUGCUUUUAUAAGGGAAUAAAGUGAGAGUCGUGACUCUUUUUGCAUGUACCUUAUGAAUAAGGACCGGCUAAUUCCGCGCCAGCAGCCGCAGUAA